rnacentral:lncRNA from 1 species
GCCUUUGUAUUUAUAGAAUGCUUUUUACAUCUGCUAAUUCUACAAAGUAAUGAAAACUUUAAAACAGUGGGGCCUAUCCCACCUACUUUACCUAAGAAUUUCUAAGCUAGUUACGUAAAGUUAAAGCUUUACAUACAAUUGCUAAAACUAAGAAAAAAGUCAAUAAUAAUGGCUUACAUUUAUAUUUUUCCUAUGUAAAAGUCUAACGAAUUAAUUAAUGUACAGUAUCUUGUCUCCGUUGAUUUUUGUCGUAUCUGCUCCAUUAUUGCUCUGUAUCUGCU